rnacentral:rRNA from 1 species
AUACGUAGGGUGCGAGCGUUGUCCGGAUUUACUGGGCGUAAAGAGCUCGUAGGUGGCUUGUCGCGUCGUCUGUGAAAGUCUGGGGCUUAACUCCGGGUGUGCAGGCGAUACGGGCUGGCUUGAGUGCUGUAGGGGAGACUGGAAUUCCUGGUGUAGCGGUGGAAUGCGCAGAUAUCAGGAGGAACACCGAUGGCGAAGGCAGGUCUCUGGGCAGUCACUGACGCUGAGGAGCGAGAGCAUGGGUAGCGAACAGGAUUAGAUACCCUGGUAGUCCAUGCUGUAAACGGUGGGCGCUAGGUGUGGGGACUUUCCAUGGUUUCCGUGUCGUAGCUAACGCGUUAAGCGCCCCGCCUGGGGAGUACGGCCGCAAGGCUAAA